rnacentral:rRNA from 1 species
UACGGAGGGAGCUAGCGUUAUUCUGAAUUACUGGGCGUAAAGCGCACGUAGGCGGCUUUGUAAGUUAGAGGUGAAAGCCUGGAGCUCAACUCCAGAACUGCCUUUAAGACUGCAUCGCUUGAAUCCAGGAGAGGUGAGUGGAAUUCCGAGUGUAGAGGUGAAAUUCGUAGAUAUUGGGAAGAACACCGGUGGCGAAGGCGGCUCACUGGCUCGUUUCUGACGCUCAGGCGCGACAGCGUGGGGAUCAAACAGG